rnacentral:rRNA from 1 species
AACGCACCUUGCGCUCCUUGGUAUUCCGAGGAGCAUGCCUGUUUGAGUGUCAUGAACAUCAUCAACCUUCCCCCUUUCGAGGGUGUGGAGGCUUGGACUUUGGGAGUCUGCUGGCUGCCGCAAGGCGCGUCGGCUCUCCUGGAAUGCAUUAGCGACGGACCCUUGCUGGGAGAAGUGGCUCGUGGUGUAAUACUUGUUUUGUUCACCUCGUCGCCGGCUUUGUCUCGCGGGCUUCGAAUCGUCCCUCUUGGGGGACUGACUCCAUCUUGAAUCUGACCUCAAAUCAGGCAAGACUACCCGCUGAACUUAA